rnacentral:rRNA from 1 species
GAUGAACGCUGGCGGCGUGCCUAAUACAUGCAAGUCGAGCGAACAGACGAGGAGCUUGCUCCUUCGACGUUAGCGGCGGACGGGUGAGUAACACGUAGGUAACCUACCUAUAAGACUGGGAUAACUUCGGGAAACCGGAGCUACUACCGGAUAAUAUUUCGAACCGCAUGGUUCGAUAGUGAAAGAUGGCUUUGCUAUCACUUAUAGAUGGACCUGCGCCGUAUUAGCUAGUUGGUAAGGUAACGGCUUACCAAGGCAACGAUACGUAGCCGACCUGAGAGGGAGAUCGGCCAGACGGGAACUGAGACACGGUCCAGACUCCUACGGGAGGAAGCAGUAGGGAAUCUUCCGCGAUGGGCGAGAGCCUGACGGAGCAACGCCGCGUGAGUGAUGAAGGUCUUCGGAUCGUAAAACUCUGUUAUUAGGGAAGAACAAACGUGUAAGUAACUGUGCACGUCUUGACGGUACCUAGUCAGAAAGCCACGGCUAACUACGUG